rnacentral:lncRNA from 1 species
UCAUGAGUCAAGCAAAUGAUAGUGGUGAUCUUUACUUUUAAUCAUGCAAGAAUCAAGAUCUAUUUCAUCUUUUCUUGAUUCAGUCUUUUAGUAUUUAUCAAUUUUUCUUCAUUAAGUACAUUUCUGAAAAACUCAAUUUUGUUAUAAUUAUUAACAAGUUUUCAGAUUGUUAUAUGUAAAAGAUUAACCAUAUAUAAUUUGAUCUUAGUAUCUUGACAAUAAAUCAUUAGUCUCAUAGAGAAUAAGACGAUUUGAUAUUUUUGCAACUAAAAUCUUUUCAUUGAAUAUUCUAUAUGCAUUGCUUGAUGAAUGAUAUCCAAGGAUAGACAUAUCUCUAUCAGAUUUGGCAUUAUUUUUCAUAAGAACAUAUCAAGCAUAACAUGUACGACUGAAAAAUAUGAAAGAUAUGCAAUGGUUCAUUUUCCAUUUUUCAGAAGAUCAAAAAGAGUUUUCAUCAAAAAUAGAUCUAAUAGAAAUCAUAUGUAUGACAAACAGUGAUGAUAGCUUUUUUUUUAAAAAAUCAUUUAAGUAGAUGACUAUCAUACAC